rnacentral:rRNA from 1 species
UACGUAGGUGACAAGCGUUGUCCGGAUUUACUGGGCGUAAAGAGCGCGCAGGCGGUCGAUCAAGUCGAGUGUGAAAGCCCCCGGCUCAACUGGGGAGGGUCAUUCGAUACUGAUCGACUCGAAGGCAGGAGAGGGUAGUGGAAUUCCCGGUGUAGUGGUGAAAUGCGUAGAUAUCAGGAGGAACACCGGUGGCGAAGGCGGCUCUCUGGACGGUGACUGACGCUGAGACGCGAAAGCGUGGGGAGCAAACAGG